rnacentral:misc_RNA from 1 species
GAUGAAGAACGCAGCGAAAUGCGAUAAGUAAUGUGAAUUGCAGAAUUCAGUGAAUCAUCGAAUCUUUGAACGCACAUUGCGCCCACUAGUAUUCUGGUGGGCAUGCCUGUUCGAGCGUCAUUUCAACCCUCAAGCCUUAGUUGCUUGGUGUUGGGACUCGCGUUAAUUCGCGUUCCCCAAAUUGAUUGGCGGUCACGUCGAGCUUCCAUAGCGUAGUAGUAAAACCCUCGUUACUGGUAAUCGUCGCGGCCACGCCGUUAAACCCCAACUUCUGAAUGUUGACCUCGGAUCAGGUAGGAAUACCCGCUGAACUUAAGCAUAUCAAUAAGCGGAGGA